ACGGGUGAGUAAUGUCUGGGGAUCUGCCCGAUAGAGGGGGAUAACCACUGGAAACGGUGGCUAAUACCGCAUAACGUCGCAAGACCAAAGAGGGGGACCUUCGGGCCUCUCACUAUCGGAUGAACCCAGAUGGGAUUAGCUAGUAGGCGGGGUAAUGGCCCACCUAGGCGACGAUCCCUAGCUGGUCUGAGAGGAUGACCAGCCACACUGGAACUGAGACACGGUCCAGACUCCUACGGGAGGCAGCAGUGGGGAAUAUUGCACAAUGGGCGCAAGCCUGAUGCAGCCAUGCCGCGUGUAUGAAGAAGGCCUUCGGGUUGUAAAGUACUUUCAGCGGGGAGGAAGGCGGUGAGGUUAAUAACCUUGCCGAUUGACGUUACCCGCAGAAGAAGCACCGGCUAACUCCGUGCCAGCAGCCGCGGUAAUACGAAGGGGGCUAGCGUUGUUCGGAAUUACUGGGCGUAAAGCGCACGUAGGCGGACUUUUAAGUCAGGGGUGAAAUCCCGGGGCUCAACCUCGGAACUGCCUUUGAUACUGGAAGUCUGGAGUAUGGAAGAGGUAAGUGGAAUUCCGAGUGUAGA
rnacentral:rRNA from 1 species